GACGAACGCUGGCGGCGUGCUUAACACAUGCAAGUCGAACGGAAAGGCCCUGCUUUUGUGGGGUGCUCGAGUGGCGAACGGGUGAGUAACACGUGAGUAACCUGCCCUUGACUUUGGGAUAACUUCAGGAAACUGGGGCUAAUACCGGAUAGGAGCUCCUGCUGCAUGGUGGGGGUUGGAAAGUUUCGGCGGUUGGGGAUGGACUCGCGGCUUAUCAGCUUGUUGGUGGGGUAGUGGCUUACCAAGGCUUUGACGGGUAGCCGGCCUGAGAGGGUGACCGGCCACCGUGGGACUGGGGUUCGGCCCGGACUCCUACGGGGGGCAGAAGUUGGGGAUAAUGCACAAUGGGCGGAAGCCUGGUGCAACAACGCCGCGUGGGGGAUGGCCGCCUUCCGGUUGGAAACCGCUUUCGCCUGUGACGAAGCGUGAGUGACGGUAAUGGGUAAAGAAGCACCGGCUAACUACGUG
rnacentral:rRNA from 1 species